rnacentral:rRNA from 1 species
UGGCCGCGGUAAUUUGACCGUGCAAAGGUAGCAUAAUUAUUAGUCUUUUAAUUGAAGGCUUGAAUGAAUGAUUGGAUGAAAAAUUUACUUUAUUAAUUUAAAUUAUUUAAUUUAUGAUCUAAGUAAAAAUGCUUAGAUAAAUGAAUGGGACGAGAAGACCCUAUAGAGUUUUAUUUUUUUUUUUUAUUAUAAAAUUCUAGAAUUAAUAUUUUUAUAGUAAUAAAAAAUUUUUGAUUGGGGUGAUCUUAAAAAAUAUUAAACUUUUAAUUAAUAUUUCAUUAAUCUAUGUUGAAUUGAUCCAAAAAUUUUUGAUUACAUGAUUAAAUUACCUUAGGGAUAACAGCGUUAUUAAUUUGAAGAGUUCAAAUCGAUAAAUUAGUUUGCGACCUCGAUGUUGGAUUAAGAAAAAAUUUUGAAGUAGUAUUUAAAAUAAUGGGUCUGUUCGACCUUUAAAUUCUUACG